CAGUCGCCACGGUAAUACAGAGGGUGCGAGCGUUAAUCGGAUUUACUGGGCGUAAAGCGUGCGUAGGCGGCUUCUUAAGUCGGAUGUGAAAUCCCUGAGCUUAACUUAGGAAUUGCAUUCGAUACUGGGAAGCUAGAGUAUGGGAGAGGAUGGUAGAAUUCCAGGUGUAGCGGUGAAAUGCGUAGAGAUCUGGAGGAAUACCGAUGGCGAAGGCAGCCAUCUGGCCUAAUACUGACGCUGAGGUACGAAAGCAUGGGGAGCAAACAGGAUUAGAUACCCCAGUAGUCCCUGUCUCUUAUAC
rnacentral:rRNA from 1 species